GACAGAGGGGGCAAGCGUUGUUCGGAAUUACUGGGCGUAAAGGGCUCGUAGGCGGCCAACUAAGUCCGACGUGAAAUCCCAAAGCUUAACUUUGGAACUGCGUCGGAUACUGGAUGGCUUGAAUUCGGGAGAGGGAUGCAGAAUUCCAGGUGUAGCGGUGAAAUGCGUAGAUAUCUGGAGGAAUACCGGUGGCGAAGGCGGCAUCCUGGACCGACAUUGACGCUGAGGAGCGAAAGCUAGGGGAGCAAACGGG
rnacentral:rRNA from 1 species